rnacentral:rRNA from 1 species
UACGGAGGGUGCAAGCGUUAUCCGGAUUCACUGGGUUUAAAGGGUGCGUAGGUGGGUUGGUAAGUCAGUGGUGAAAUCUCCGUGCUUAACAUGGAAACUGCCAUUGAUACUACUGAUCUUGAAUUUUCUGGAGGUAAGCGGAAUAUGUCAUGUAGCGGUGAAAUGCUUAGAUAUGACAUAGAACACCAAUUGCGAAAGGCAGCUUACUACAGCGAUAUUGACACUGAGACACGAAAGCGUGGGUAGCAAACAGG